rnacentral:misc_RNA from 1 species
GGUAUGCAGGCCCGUUGGCCGCUGAUCCGCAGACUGCCGCAGGCACCAUUGGGUCACGUGAUGUUUCUGACUGGCCGGUCCACAUUGACCGCCGGCCAACAGAACGGAGAGGCUGGUUUAGUUGAGAAUCGAGUAGUGGCGGGGGAAGUUAGUUUGUUAAGAGAGGAGUUUUCCGGUGACCGUUAUCGGCGCAGAACGAACAUCUGCUUUGUUGAGAAAUUAAGCCUGAAUCAGAAUACACGCCAGGCAUUGAUGCUGUAAGGUUUUGCAAGCAUUCUGGUGUGAAGUAAGAUGACUGAUGUGCGGCCAAGCCCAGCUGCAAUGAACCACAACAUGAGCUCCAGCUCCAUGUCAAGUUUAAAGGGUAAGGAGGCGCAGUGGGC